CAGCCGCCGCGGUAAUACAGAGGGUGCAAGCGUUAAUCGGAAUUACUGGGCGUAAAGCGCGCGUAGGUGGUUUGUUAAGUCGGAUGUGAAAUCCCCGGGCUCAACCUGGGAACUGCAUCCGAAACUGGCAAGCUAGAGUAUGGUAGAGGGUAGUGGAAUUUCCUGUGUAGCGGUGAAAUGCGUAGAUAUAGGAAGGAACACCAGUGGCGAAGGCGACUACCUGGACUGAUACUGACACUGAGGUGCGAAAGCGUGGGGAGCAAACAGGAUUAGAUACCCCCGUAGUCCCUGUCUCUUAUAC
rnacentral:rRNA from 1 species